rnacentral:lncRNA from 1 species
AGAGAUGAUCGAGAAUUUGCCAGAGAUCUAGAUGGACACACCAUCCCUGUUCACAACAAGGAUAUCAGAAGACUUCUAGAAAGAGCUUCAAAAGAUGAGCCAUCCUACAUAUGUCUUCCUGAACAUGCUAGCCAAUUCACACAGACAAAGUUGGUACCAGAGAUCUACACCAAGGACGAGAUCAAUGAGAUGUUCUAUGGCGUCUUUGGUGAACAUGAUAGGAACAAAGAAGCCUUCCAGAUGAAGCUUGAUGGUGUCUACUAUCCAUUGAAUGAUAGUAUAAGUUGGCUAACUACUUGCAUGGAGGAGAUGAAGCAAGACAUAGCCAGAAUUCAGAACGCGACGGAUGUUGCUCGACCUUCAUCGAUCGACAGAAGACGACCCCAAUCGAUCUACAUCCGACAAUCACCAUCGCUCGACAUCCACCAUCACGCAUCGAUCGACAACCGCCUGGCCGCAUCAAUUGUGGGAACAAGAAUUCACAUCAUCGAGAUUUGUUAAUCGGAGGAAAGCCAAGCUAACCUAGCCUUCCCUGAAGGUCCCGGUUAUCUGCUGUGCCACGGACAACACAAUCAAUAUGAAAGAGUCGAAAGUAAUAAAUCGUAAAAGAGCGAAAAGAGAACAAAGAGGUCUUAUUUCCGAAUUCGCGUUUGAGCGAGAACAACAGGUAAGAUCCUAGGCCACGAGCGCUGUCGGUACGUUCCCUAGUCUAGCCACCUAAGUUCUAACCUAGUCAAGUCGCAGCUCGGUAGUAAAAACGGAAAAAUGCCUAAAUUGCUCUAAGUAUUAAGUUUUCUCUGAGAAAGCUCUCUCUUGCUCCUUGCCUUAAGCCCUCCUUAUACUCUCUCUAGGUAGGUUUGCACCUCUUCCUGGGCCGGAUUCGUCGCGAGACGGGCUUUUCCAUUUUUCAUCACCGUUCAUGAUUAUCUUCGGAAACUUGACAUUUAUCUUUUCCUGCGAAUAAAAAAUAGACCCUCAUAUCAGCCUUAGGCUCAAUCCUGUUCUAAAAUUAAUGCCGUGAAGAUUCUAACUCACGAGGAGUUCGCAGCAAAACACCCACAUCCGCCAAGCCACAAUGUCUGAAUCGAUCGACAUGCCAACAGCAACGUCGAUCGAUACUCAGAAGCUAAUAUCGAUUGACAACCAUCACCUCCUAUCGAUCGAUGAGCCCCUAUCACCUACCGAGUGCAGAUGCCGAAGAUAGGUGUGGCACGACUUAACGCACUCAGGCCAAAACCUAAACCUUCAGAACAACCAGCGGAGCCUGUCAGGACACCUUCAGAUGAUGGAGAUGAUCCCAUGGAAGAAGAUAGGGUUUCUACUGGAAGAAUCCUAAGGUGAAGAAAGGAAAAAGUGGCAAAACAUCUGAAGAGGGGGGCUAAUGAAAAGGAAAAGGAAAAUUUCCAAAAGAGAGUCUUCAGGAUUCCUCUACAUAAGCCAUUCGAAGAAGCUUAUUACAGCCACUGAUUGUGGAUGUUCUUCAGAGAAACCAGAGAGAAAGAAGAAGACAUUAGGAGAAUGCUCUGUGAAGCCAGAGAAAAGAUGAAGAGAAGGAUUACAUUGAAGAAAAAGAGUGAUCCUGGGCAAUCUGCAAUACCAUGCACAGUGCAGGGUAUUGGAUUCCCACAUGCUUUGUGCGACACAGGAGCAUCAGUCAGCAUCCUACCUAGGGUUAUUGCAGCCCAUCUGGGUCUGCAGGUGGAGCCUUCGCAGGAAUUGUUCACUUUUGUGGAUUGUUCCCAGAAGAGCUCAGGAGGAAUUGUGAGAGACCUAGAGGUGUAGAUUGGUGAUGCCCUAGUUCCAGUUGAUUUCCAUGUCUUGGACAUCAAGUUAAACUGGAACUCUUCUCUACUACUUGGGAGAGCUUUCUUGUCAACAGUGGGAGCAGUGUGCAACUUGCAAACCAACCAGUUGUGUCUAACACUCAUCGAUCCCAAUGCCCACUACGACCAUAUCCCAGUCAAGAAGCCACAGACGAUCUCCAGAAGAAUCAAUGAUCCAGGAAUCAUUGCAGCUUGCCACUGUGGAGAUGAGUACGAAACUGAAUAUUCAGAAUCGAUCGAGACUCAUACAGCAACAUCGAUCGACAGCGGUAACCAGAAAUCGACCGACAUACCACAUGACGAGUCGGUCGAUAGUAAUCCAGAUGAGUUGGAGAAUGAUUACUACAACCCCACUAUUGACGCUUACACAAGACCAUAUAUGCAUUCAGACGAGUAUGAUGAAGACUUCGAGGAGGAACGAGCCAUUGAGAACAGAGCUAUCCUUGAUGAGGAAGAUAAACUCUUACAUCAUUCCUCUUGGAAAAGGAAUGCACCAUCGUUCGACAUGGCAAGCUUGCCAUCGAUCGACACUCAACCUCAACAACUAUGCCGAAAGUGAGCAUCGACCGACACUGCCUACUAUAAAUCGGUCGACACUGACUUCAACCGUGUGCGAGAAGGAGACUACUCGAUCGGUAGUUGGUCAGAUGAACCCCACCAUGAGAGCUUUGCAGUAGAAAUAGUAACCUACACACCAGGAGCAGAUAAACUACAAGAUAGCUUCACAGACAAGGAGCUACUCAACAUGAAAAAGCGUGACGAUACAUAUCAGAUUCAAGCUGAAGCCGCUUGGGAAAGAACCCGAUCGAUCGACACUCGUCACCAGCAAUCGAUUGAUAAGCUUCCUCAACAAUCGAUCGACAUCAACAAUACCACAUCGAUUGACAACCAUCCAAUACCGAACAUCACUGUAAGCAAAAAAGAUAAAUUAGAUAACCAGUAUCUAACCCUAGACGAAUUUGGUAUUUUUAGGGACCCUAAUGGUUUCGCAAAAGCAAUAGACGGCCGCACACUACACGUAUCUCAAGAAGAUAUCGCAGAUAUCCUUCAGACAACCAAUGGAGCAGACAAUAUGUUCAUGCAUCAACGCAGCAACCGCGAACAGAAGACUACAAAGGAGUUCUAUGACGCAGAUGGUGGCAUAGAAAACAGCUUCAAACAACGAUCUCGCAGUACAACCCAUCCAUCGAUCAACAAAGAUGUUCCAACAGUCACCAGACAGCCAGAAUUCAGCAGAAGAGCUUUUGACCCUUAUGGUAACAGAAAAUUUUACUGGCAAGAGAAAAAUGUGUAUGGAGUCUACAGAGAUGAUCGAGAAUUUGCCAGAGAUCUAGAUGGACACACCAUCCCUGUUCACAACAAGGAUAUCAGAAGACUUCUAGAAAGAGCUUCAAAAGAUGAGCCAUCCUACAUAUGUCUUCCUGAACAUGCUAGCCAAUUCACACAGACAAAGUUGGUACCAGAGAUCUACACCAAGGACGAGAUCAAUGAGAUGUUCUAUGGCGUCUUUGGUGAACAUGAUAGGAACAAAGAAGCCUUCCAGAUGAAGCUUGAUGGUGUCUACUAUCCAUUGAAUGAUAGUAUAAGUUGGCUAACUACUUGCAUGGAGGAGAUGAAGCAAGACAUAGCCAGAAUUCAGAACGCGACGGAUGUUGCUCGACCUUCAUCGAUCGACAGAAGACGACCCCAAUCGAUCUACAUCCGACAAUCACCAUCGCUCGACAUCCACCAUCACGCAUCGAUCGACAACCGCCUGGCCGCAUCAAUUGUGGGAACAAGAAUUCACAUCAUCGAGAUUUGUUAAUCGGAGGAAAGCCAAGCUA